GAGAAUGUUAUCACGGGAGACACACGGCGGGUGCUAACGUCCGUCGUGAAGAGGGAAACAACCCAGACCGCCAGCUAAGGUCCCAAAGUCAUGGUUAAGUGGGAAACGAUGUGGGAAGGCCCAGACAGCCAGGAUGUUGGCUUAGAAGCAGCCAUCAUUUAAAGAAAGCGUAAUAGCUCACUGGUCGAGUCGGCCUGCGCGGAAGAUGUAACGGGGCUAAACCAUGCACCGAAGCUGCGGCAGCGACACUAUGUGUUGUUGGGUAGGGGAGCGUUCUGUAAGCCUGUGAAGGUGGCCUGUGAGGGUUGCUGGAGGUAUCAGAAGUGCGAAUGCUGACAUAAGUAACGAUAAAGCGGGUGAAAAGCCCGCUCGCCGGAAGACCAAGGGUUCCUGUCCAACGUUAAUCGGGGCAGGGUGAGUCGACCCCUAAGGCGAGGCCGAAAGGCGUAGUCGAUGGGAAACAGGUUAAUAUUCCUGUACUUGGUGUUACUGCGAAGGGGGGACGGAGAAGGCUAUGUUGGCCGGGCGACGGUUGUCCCGGUUUAAGCGUGUAGGCUGGUUUUCCAGGCAAAUCCGGAAAACCAAGGCUGAGGCGUGAUGACGAGGCACUACGGUGCUGAAGCGACAAAUGCCCUGCUUCCAGGAAAAGCCUCUAAGCAUCAGGUAACAUCAAAUCGUACCCCAAACCGACACAGGUGGUCAGGUAGAGAAUACCAAGGCGCUUGAGAGAACUCGGGUGAAGGAACUAGGCAAAAUGGUGCCGUAACUUCGGGAGAAGGCACGCUGAUAUGUAGGUGAAGCGACUUGCUCGUGGAGCUGAAAUCAGUCGAAGAUACCAGCUGGCUGCAACUGUUUAUUAAAAACACAGCACUGUGCAAACACGAAAGUGGACGUAUACGGUGUGACGCCUGCCCGGUGCCGGAAGGUUAAUUGAUGGGGUUAGCGGCAACGCGAAGCUCUUGAUCGAAGCCCCGGUAAACGGCGGCCGUAACUAUAACGGUCCUAAGGUAGCGAAAUUCCUUGUCGGGUAAGUUCCGACCUGCACGAAUGGCGUAAUGAUGGCCAGGCUGUCUCCACCCGAGACUCAGUGAAAUUGAACUCGCUGUGAAGAUGCAGUGUACCCGCGGCAAGACGGAAAGACCCCGUGAACCUUUACUAUAGCUUGACACUGAACAUUGAGCCUUGAUGUGUAGGAUAGGUGGGAGGCUUUGAAGUGUGGACGCCAGUCUGCAUGGAGCCGACCUUGAAAUACCACCCUUUAAUGUUUGAUGUUCUAACGUUGGCCCGUAAUCCGGGUUGCGGACAGUGUCUGGUGGGUAGUUUGACUGGGGCGGUCUCCUCCUAAAGAGUAACGGAGGAGCACGAAGGUUGGCUAAUCCUGGUCGGACAUCAGGAGGUUAGUGCAAUGGCAUAAGCCAGCUUGACUGCGAGCGUGACGGCGCGAGCAGGUGCGAAAGCAGGUCAUAGUGAUCCGGUGGUUCUGAAUGGAAGGGCCAUCGCUCAACGGAUAAAAGGUACUCCGGGGAUAACAGGCUGAUACCGCCCAAGAGUUCAUAUCGACGGCGGUGUUUGGCACCUCGAUGUCGGCUCAUCACAUCCUGGGGCUGAAGUAGGUCCCAAGGGUAUGGCUGUUCGCCAUUUAAAGUGGUACGCGAGCUGGGUUUAGAACGUCGUGAGACAGUUCGGUCCCUAUCUGCCGUGGGCGCUGGAGAACUGAGGGGGGCUGCUCCUAGUACGAGAGGACCGGAGUGGACGCAUCACUGGUGUUCGGGUUGUCAUGCCAAUGGCACUGCCCGGUAGCUAAAUGCGGAAGAGAUAAGUGCUGAAAGCAUCUAAGCACGAAACUUGCCCCGAGAUGAGUUCUCCCUGACUCCUUGAGAGUCCUGAAGGAACGUUGAAGACGACGACGUUGAUAGGCCGGGUGUGUAAGCGCAGCGAUGCGUUGAGCUAACCGGUACUAAUGAACCGUGAGGCUUAACCUU
rnacentral:rRNA from 1 species